CGGCAGCGCCUCUCGCACUGACUUUAUCUUCUGUUCUUGCUCAUGUAUAUCUAUUGAAUCUAUCACGGUAAAAGUCGGAUGGCAAAUUUCUAUGUGGCACUAUCCGGAUUUCUUCGGGAAGAGGAAUUCUUGUAGUGCAGGCUUGAUAACAGAUAAUCAAAUUACACGUUGGCAUUCAAGACAUGCUUAAAAUAUCAACCUCUCAGCGGUACGGAGCGUGUUAACAGCCUUGAACUCUGCACCCUCGGAGCGCCUUGUGGUGCUGACUUCGUAACCCGGCGCCUACGGUUACCCCGCCUGCAUCGCCGGUGGUGCCUCUUUAACAAACAAUAGAUCCGGAAAAACGAAUGCACAGACAAAUCCUUCUGGCCUGCACAUCAUCUGCAGCAGCUAGAAAUUACAGAGAGGAGUUGGGGCACGUUUAUGGCCUAAUAACGUGCUUAAUCCCACUUCAUCAUCCUGUUGCACUGACAUCAUACGAACAGCUUUGCAGCAGCUCCUCAGGCUUGUGUUGGAACAGACUUCUCCACAGAGAGUGUGUUGAAUUCAUGUUCUCUGGAUAACAGAAAUUGAGUCUAGAGAAAUGGAUCAAAUGGAAGUCCAGAAAUGGGCAUAGUGAUUAUGGAGCCUCCUGAUUGAUGCAGCUCGUGAUGUGUUACGGCAGUGUGAUGCCACACCAUGAUGAGAAGGAUGUUUGGACUUAGCAGAAGGUUUAUGUAAACUAGGAGAUUGACCUGAAGAGUUGGUUACAUUUGUUUACCCAUUUCCAAGCACACAUCCCAUCCAUCUCCAAUAACACAUCCGACUAGGAACUGGAUAAAUCAUGUUUCACAGGCACAGUGAAAGGUCUACUGUUCUCAGUGUUGUGUUCUGUUGUUUUUUUAAUUGUACAUUUUUAUGGAGCUAUGUGAAAAUGUAUAGUGGAAACAUGUGCAUUGAACAGACAGCAUACCAGAAGCUGCAUAGCACAUUUGUAUGAGAGAUAGUCAAAAAAUACGAGUCCAUUCCCUAGAAGGAAGAAGCUCAGAAGGUAGAAGAGGUAGUAGAAAAGAAGCUGCUUAGCUGCAAAAGCAGCUGAAGGGUGAACGUUAUGGUGUGGUGCCCAUUCACACACUGGUUGCUCAGAACUUUACCACCAAAUUGUUAGACAGUGAACUCAGUGUAUCACACAGAUUGGAGCAACCAGAUGUCAUAAUAAGUGAUCCCAAUUGUACAGUAAUUGAAAGCAGGACAG